GGACUAAGAACACAUAAAUGAUACUGAUCAAUGCAAAAGGUGAAGUCAUCACAGCGAGAUCAAAGGUUGAAACGCUUGUGGUAUAAUUGCUUAAGGAUUGGUAGCUGAUUCAGGUUUGGUGUCUUUGGAAGGGAAUGUGGACUUUGGUAACUCAGGCAAGUGGGGAAAAGUUGGCAGUUCAGGUUUUGGCAACUCAGGCAAGUGGGGAAAAGCUGGCAGUUCAGGCUUUGGAAACUCAGGCAAUUCAGGUUUUGGCAGCGUGGGAAUUUCAGGCUUCGACAACUCAGGCAAUUCAGGUAAUUUUGGCAGAGUGGGAAGUUCAGGUUUAGGAAAGGUUGGGACUUCAGGUAAUGGUGGAAGCUCAACCUUAGGAAGUAAUGGCAAGUCAGGCAAUUCAGGCUUAGGAAGCUCCGGGACCUCAGGUAAUGUUGUCUCUAGAAGCUGUCGUGCUUCUGCAGAGAUUGACAGAGCAACGAGUGAGAGCAGAACAAUGAGUGAAGGGGAGCGAAGAUUGGCCAUAACUAUGCAACAAGAUCAAUCAGCUGUAAAUACAAUUUAUCCUCACUUUUGUUUUGUGUGUGUUGAUGUUCACUUGUGUUGAGCUUUUAUAGAAGUGGGAAGUGAAGAAUGGGGAACUUCCAAAGGUGAUUUAGUGGGAAAAGUUGUGUUAGCUCAACUUCCCACCCAUAAGACUCCCACUGUUGGCAUGACCAACUAUAGACUUCCUUACAAGUGUAACCUUGCUAUCUUUCUAUAUGGAGUCCAGAGAUUGGUUAGAUUGAUAAUAAGCUAAAAUAUGGUUCUCACUUGUAAUCAUUCUCAGAAAUCAGAACACUUGUGAAGUUCAAGCUUUUUCACCUAUUUAAUAAUUCACUUCUUUCCUGUUCUACCUACAAAAGAUGAGAUUCUGAAGAAUGGUUCUUCUUUAGUUACUUUAAAAUAAUGUUCAACGAAGAUAGCCUCAUCUGCAAAGUUGGCCAACCUACACACUAAACUUUGACAUGUCUUUCUUUUUAUUGAAGCUCUGACUGAUCUUCACAUCACAUCCAAUUAUCCACAAGGUACUCUUCUAUUUGAAAUUAAGAAUUUUAUUAAAAAUUAAUUCAAUUGAUUUCUUUUAUAUCAAUCUCUUGGUUGGAAUGAGAUUCAAUUUUUUUGACUUAUAAAAUUUUCAUAUUAAAAAAAUUGAAACCAUGUGUAUUCUUGUAAGAAUUUAUUUAUAUUCUUUUUUUUUUCAAACUGAAUCAUUGCAAACAAAAGGACUAUAUAAGGUAGUAUAUAUGAUUCUCAGUUGUAAUUAUAACAGUUCAAAAUAUGUCUAAUCACAUUAGUUUCGGUAGAUCUUCAACAAACUGAAAAUUACUAAUGUUUACAACGGAAUCUGUCUCAGCAAUAUGUAAUCUCCAUAUGCUUUUUUAGUUUUCAGAAACCUUGUAAUUUUUACAGAAUAAAGGAAUUUUACCAUUACGGGUGUAACAUCUAGUUAAACUCCGAUGUCGGAAUCUCAACGUUCUGACGGAAUCUCCGUCGAGAUCCAGAAUCUCGAAGCUAAAAUUUUUAGAAGGAUAAAAUAGAGUUUUCAUAAAAUGAAUUAAAAAUUUUUCUUGGUGUGUUUUAAAAAAAAAUAAAAAAUUUAGAGGAGUUUUAAAGUUCGGCCGCCGAAGACGGCUCUUCCAGCCACUUAUAAAAGGCCUUCAACCCAAAAAUAUGAGAACUCUUUCUCUAUUUUCGAGCAGAGGUAAGUCCAUGCCCUUUUCCAGACAUUCUUGCUAAAAUUACUUCAAAUCUCUUGGAGAAUACAUGAGUUUUUACUUCAUUUUUUAAGAUUUGAGUUUGGAUUUCAAGCUUUAAACUUUGGAGACCUCCGAAAAUCGAUUUCCCAAUUCUCCAAAUCUUGGUUGUUGUGUUUUCUAUGUUUUUCAAGAGGUAAGUUCAAUCUUUGCUUUUCUUAUGCUUUUUGAAGGUUUUAAACCGAUAUUAUAAGUUGUUAGGACAUGCAUGAUUGAUUAUUCUAAAGUUUUAAAGUUUGAGUUAGUUUUGAUGAUGGAUGAUUUUCUCCUGGGAUUUUGUUGAUGCAUGUUGAGUUUAGAACAGUUUUUGAGGUCUCUUAUGCGUGUUAAGUGUGUAUGGUAGUCUUUAGCCUGUUGCAUGUAAGUUUGGGUUUGUUUAUUGGCUAUGAGCAUAGGGCAAAAUCAGGUUCUGCCUUACUGGAGAUCCUAGGUUCAGCCGCUGAAGCAAGGUUCGGCCACCAAAUCUGUCUGUAGAGGCAGCCAUUUGGCCACCUAACCUGCCGCUGAAAGUCCUCUGUUCAGCCUUUUUCAGCUUGUUUCCUACGUGUGUUCUUGUAUGUUCUUAGGGGUUUUCUUGAGGGUAGUUUAAGUAUUGUAAUAGUUAUGUUUGGUUCCUCAUUUAAAUCCAUCUAUGUAGGAUCGGACUUUGGAGACUGUAGAGGCUUGCAGUGAGAUAACUGCUUCAGUACUAGGCGUGCAUCAGUCAAAGGUGAGUAGAACUGAACUGAUAUAUUAUUUUAAAGAAAUCAAACUUUUUAAGCAUACUCAUACAUCACGAAUGUCAUGUAUAUACGAUUAGGUUGUUUUGCAUUAGAGUUCACGAAUAUAAUACAUUGCAUAAAUUAUUGUUGUUGUGGAUGGACGUUGGAUGACCCACUAGCCCUCGAGUAUGUUAUGAUAUGUUAUGAUGGAUAUGGAAAGACUAGGGUUGCCUAUUCUACGCCUCUGGCACUAUGUAAGGGAAAGACCAGGGCUGCCCAUUCUAUGCCCCUUGCACUAUGGAUAUGUUAUGUUAUAUUUAAGAGGAAAACCUGAGGAGCACUCGUCGUGGGCCGAGCACUAUUGAAAUCUGUAGAGGGUUACUGAUGACAAGUCCAUUUUGAUGUAAAUUGUUUGUGCUGUGAUGCAUUCAUACAAUCAUAUAUUUUAUUGAACUGUUUUUUUAUGUUCUGCUCACUAGACUCUUAUAGUUUAUCCCCUUUCCCCUAAUCCCAGGUUUGCAGGAUCAAAGUUAGCUCGGGAAGUCGGCUGAGUUGCUGGUAUAGCCUAUUGUAAUAGUAUAGCUAUGGAAAUAUAUUCAUUUGUGGAUUAGAAUUGUGCUUUGCCCGGGUUCUUCCUUGUAAUCCUUGUUUCAUGAUCAUUUUAUAUAAAAGUUUUUAAGUAUAAGUUUAUGUUUAAAUCGAGCUUGAGGCAUGUUAUGUCACACCCAUUCUCAAAACUGUGGAGAUGGAUAUGACCCGAAAAACUGACAGAACUUCCCCUGUUGUUAAUACAUAUAACUCAUAUGACCUGCUAUAAUUUCAAAAUAUAAAACAUAUAAGAGAUGAUUGAUAGCUAGACUGGUCAAUACAUAAUAUAUUUACAAUAAACAAAACACGUUCAUCAUUUGAAUUUACAAUCUAUACAUAAUCUGUCAAAAUUACAAAAAGAAAAGACAAGACCUAGGAUUGGUCCGACCUCCUCUAGACUCUGAGUGGACGAUGUGGAAGGAAUAACAAACUAGGAGAUGAGGACUGCUGAGCGGAUCACCAAAAAAAAACUGAAUAUUAAAAGAAAUAAGAGUGAGUACAACAUAUUCAGUGAGUGGAUAAAUAAAUAACAAAGGGGAAAAGAUAAGUUUAGGUAAUUAAUAGUACCAAAUAUUUAGCUAAAAUAAGUCAGCUGAAUAAAUACAAUUUAAUUCCUAGGCCUGGGCCUUAUAUGUUAUGUUGACCAUACCGAAGCAUUUGAUGAGGGCUCUAGUAUAGGUUUUAUGUUUUCAGUUACGAUGCAUGCACAAGUCGAGUCUUGGUUCAUGUAAUAAUUAUAUUUUUGUUGUUUGUAUGAUCAUGCAUGGAAUUAUAUCAUAUGUAAUAGGAUGUAUAGUAUGCUUGCUGUGGGCUCCAGUGACCUUAAGUCGAUUUGAACCCUAGCACCGGUAGUGGUCUGGUUCCCGGGUCGUUACAGAGUGGUAUCAAAGCCCUAGAUUCAUAUGACUGGGCCUAGAGUGUUGGGCUCAUAGAUGUUAUAGAGGGCAAAUACAAUUAGGAAAUAUUAUAUCCACUAGGAUAGAAUGUAGAGUCUUGUCAUGAUAUAUGUGAUAACCUCCAGAUCUUUCCUAGCCCAGGAAUAAGGUCGGGUCCAAAAGAAGGCACAGGUCCAAAGCCCAUCAGAUCAUACGCUCGAGAGGCGGCUCGACUUCACGAGCCUGGGCCGGCAACCCAGGAUGAUCCGGAUCAGAUAUGAGCACAAGCCCCAUAAGGGAGUAGGCCCAAUCACUCACCAGCUCUACCCGCAUGCUCUCUGGAGAGCAUUAAAUGGCCGUUACGCAUGGAGCAGGUGCCUGACACGCCCGUAUGUACGGGCCUGAGUGACAAGGACAGGAAGCACUAUAUAUCGGGGGGUCUCCUCUUGCAAGGGGGAUCUUCUUCUUUUUCUUCUCCUGCCUGGACUCCAUUUUUAUUUUCUCUGCAACUCUUGCCUAGAUAUACUACUCUUAUUCAUGAAACCUGACUUGAACGUCGGAGGGUCUCCGCUGGGGCAUCCCGGUGGACCCUUGACCAUUUUUCCUUAUUUUGCAGGUCCCUUUCUCAGAUAGAACAUGGAGAGACCCAUUUGACAGAUUCGUCUGGGAGCCCAAGAAGGAAUCAGAUCCACAUAAGAGGGGGCGAGGGAGGACCAGAUCUAACAAAUAUGGAGCCCAGGGAGAUUUAAAGUUAUCAAUAUGUAUAAUGAUGUAUAAUGUCAUGACUAUAUACAUGUGCAUUGAUGAUAUGAUAGGUAUGAUGUGGGUUCAUGUGUAUCCACAUGAACCAUAUGAUGCUAAUGCCUAUAUGUUUAAAUGAUUUUUCAGAAGACAGAAUGCAUGGCUUAUGUCGAUCUGUACGAUUGACUAGAGUCCCAUCCGAAAAAUGAGGGUAUAGACGCCCUUCCUCCUGCUGCUCCGUCAAGAGUGCGGUCAAGUAGAAAUAACAAGAAUGAAAAGUCAAGAGACCCUAUAAUGUCUUUUAAUAUAAACAAAAAGAGAACAGAUCCGAGUAGGAUGUUUGCAGAUGCCAGAAAAACAGUAGGAAAUGAUUAGAGGAGAGAUAGAAGUUUGGGUAUGAGUUUUGAAGUAGAGGGUGUGGGAGAGUCUGAAAGAGGAACAGAAGGCGUCAGACCAUAGGAUCCGCCUAUCCACCUCAGUACCAACCCUAUGCACAGGAACUCGGGUAUCCGAUGGAAAGUACAACAGAUUACUCUAGCUACCACCCAUACCCCUCAUUCAUACCCUAUCCUCCUUGCUAUUCAUUAUAUCCACCCUACCCUAUCUUAUGUUUUCGCCUCCUCCCCAUUACUAGAAUUUGGCAAACUCUAACUCAGGAAAUGUUGCACCACCUCCUCCUCCAGCAAAACCAGCUAGAAAAAAGUUUUUAUACCCAGAUAGAAAAAAGUUUUUUCUUCAAACUAUAUCAUUCAUUUUAUUUUAUUUACAAUUUUAAUUAAAUCAGUUUUUGAUAAUUUUUCAAAAAAUUAAAUUUGAAAUAAAACAGAUAUUUUUUUUAAAAAUUUUAGGACAUUAAUAAUUUUUAACUUUGAUUAGCAAUUUAUAAUAUUAAACAUUAUACUUUUUAAUUAACAACAAUUCCAUUUAAUUUUCUAAGUUCAGUAAUUCUCUUUAUGGCCCUGAACUAUUUAAUAAGAUUGAUGAGGGUCAUAGCAAAAACCAAAUAAAUAAACUGGAUCAAUUUUGUAUAUAGAAUAUAAACAUACAACGUACAUCAUACAAAAGCUGAAACAAAAAUAUUAUAGGACUAAAACUCACUUCAAAUUUAAGCAUGCAUAUAUAUAACAUAUGAAUCAGACACUUAAGAACACAUAAAUGAUACUGAUCAAUGCAAAAGCUGAAGUCAUCACAGCGAGAUCAAACGUUGAAACCCUUGUGGUAUAAUUGCUUAAGGAUUGGUAGCUGAUUCAGGUUUGGUGUCUUUGGAAGGGAAUGUGGACUUUGGUAACUCAGGCAAGUGGGGAAAAGUUGGCAGUUCAGGUUUUGGCAACUCAGGCAAGUGGGGAAAAGCUGGCAGUUCAGGCUUUGGAAACUCAGGCAAUUCAGGUUUUGGCAGCGUGGGAAUUUCAGGCUUCGACAACUCAGGCAAUUCAGGUAAUUUUGGCAGAGUGGGAAGUUCAGGUUUAGGAAAGGUUGGGACUUCAGGUAAUGGUGGAAGCUCAACCUUAGGAAGUAAUGGCAAGUCAGGUAAUUCAGGCUUGGGAAGCUCCGGGACCUCAGGUAAUGUUGUCUCUAGAAGCUGCCGUGCUUCUGCAGAGAUUGACAGAGCAACGAGUGAGAGCAGAACAAUGAGUGAAGGGGAGCGAAGAUUGGCCAUAAUUAUGCAACAAGAUCAAUCAGCUGUAAAUAAAAUUUAUCCUCACUUUGUUUUGUGUGUGUUGAUGUUCACUUGUGUUGAGCUUUUAUAGAAGUGGGAAGUGAAGAAUGGGGAACUUACAAAGGUGAUUUAGUGGGAAAAGUUGUGUUAGCUCAACUUCCCACCCAUAAGACUCCCACUGUUGGCAUGACCAACUAUAGACUUCCUUACAAAUGUAACCUUGCUAUCUUUCUAUAUGGAGUCCAGAGAUUGGUUAGAUUGAUAAUAAGCUAAGAUAUGGUUCUCACUUGUAAUCAUUCUCAGAAAUCAGAACACUUGUGAAGUUCAAGAUUUUUCACCUAUUUAAUAAUUCACCUCUUUCUUGUUCUACCUACAAAAGAUGAGAAUCUGAAGAAUGGUUCUUCUUUAGUUACUUUAAAAUAAUGUUCAAUGAAGAUAGCCUCAUCUUCAAAGUUGGCCAACCUACACACUAAACUUUGACAUGUCUUUCUUUUCGUUGAAGCUCUGACUGAUCUUCACAUCCAAUUAUUCAAGUUAAUCUUCUAUUUGAAAUUAAGAAUUUUACUAAAAAUUAAUCCAAUUGAUUUCUUUUAUAUAGAUCUCUUGGUUGGAAUGAUAUUCAAUUUUUUUUUAACUUAUAAAAUUUUUAUAUUAAAAAAAUUAAAACUAUGUGUAAUCUUGUUAGAAUUUAUUUGUAUUAUUUUCUUUCAAACUGAAUCAUUGCAAACACAAGGACUAUAUGAGAGAGUAUAUAUAAAUCUCAGUUGUAAUUAUAACAGUUUAGAAUAUGUCUAAUCACAUUAGUUUUGGUAUAUCUUGAACAAACCGAAAAUUACUAAUGUUUAUAACGGAAUCUGUCUCAACAACAUCUAAUCUCGAUAUGCUUUUCCAAUUAAUCUCGAUAUGCUUUUCCAAUUUUCAGAAGCCUUAUAACUUUUACAGAAUAAAAGAAUUUUACCACGGAGAGUUCAUUUAAUCUUUGAUUUGAUUUGAGUAAAAAUAAAUAAAUUGAAUUAAAUCAAACCAAAUUUUGAAGAGUUCAAACUUAUUUUUUAAAUUUUUUUUAAGUUUGAGUUUCAUUUUGAACUUGAGCCAAGUAUUAAUAAGCUUAAAUUUGGCUCAUUUAGCAAACGAAUUUAGAUAAAUCGAAUUUUUAUCGAGUUUAGUUUUGAAUAAUUUACGAAAAGUUCAAUUUAUUUACAUAUAUAUAUAUAAUAAGAUUUAGUUGAAAACUAAUACGUUUAAAACUAAAUAAUUUUAGUUAAAUAAGUAUAUAUAUAAAUUAGCUUUUAAAAUUAUAAAGGAUGAGUUUUUAAAUUUUAAUGAUUCAAAUAUCUAUAAAUUUUAAAAGUAUAAUUAAACUAUGCAAGUUGAACUUUAAAAAACUUAGAUCUGAUUCAUGAAAAUAUAUACAAAGUAUAAUUUAGUUCUCUUAUAAUAUUACUUUCCGUAUGCUUAUUUGAGACCGUUUAUAAGUUUGUUCGCGAGCUUGCUCAUAAAUUCGAAAAUGAGCUGAAUUCGUGAGUCUUAAAGAGUCUAAUACAAAUGAAUCUGAAAAUUAAGUUCAAUCUUGAUUCAUUUAGAAAUCAAGUUGAGUUUGAUUGAACUUUUUAUCGAAUUGAACUUUCAAUAAUUCACGGACAAUUUAAUCCAUUUACACCACUAAUAGUUAUUUAGGGUCAGAUAUAAUUGCGCUCUAUAAUAGUAGAACUAAAGAGUUGGUUCUAUUAAUUACCACAGAGCCAAUCUAUUAUUGGUCGUUGAUAGAUGCGCAUUGUGGGAGUAACCCUAAUGGAAAAAUUAAUUGAUUGAAAGCUUACUUUGUAGUCAAUAAAUUACCACUAAAAUAUGAGCUUGAUUACAAUAAUAUUUUGACUCAAAUGGCUAAAAUUUUAUCAAUUCGUCUUCUUGUCUCCUUAACAACAUCCACAUCAUUGGCCUCUUUAUUGAAUAGAUAAAAAAAAUUACUUUUUAUACGAAGAACUUAUAAAGAAAGUUCUUAUAAAGCAAUCAUCAGACCAUCAGAGUUUGUUGCUGAGAGGAUCAGGCAUGGUAUGCCAUUUAUGACAAAUACCACACGGGUUAAAAGUAGCCUGUAAGGAUGUUGUUUGGAUAGUUUAGUAAUGGGAUCCAACAGAUUAGGAUGUGUAGGAGUGAAGCCUAAUGUGCCCCUUAUAUGGGUCAUAGGCAAUCCUCCCCCUUGAGCUAGCUUUUGGGGUGAGUUAGGCCUGGCCCAAAUUUAACUUGGUAUCAAAGCCUCCCCAUCCGAUGUUGGGCCUCCCAUAAAUGUGUCACGCACCAGUAAAAUUCUGGGCGUGAGGGGGGUAUGUUGAAUCCCACAUCGGUUGUGGAAAGGGGUAAUGUGCCCCUUAUAUGGGUCAUAUAUAUAUAUAUCAUUAAAUAAAGCAUAAUUCUUGUAUAGAUUGAGUCUAUACGGACAUGUAGUAUAAAUUAUAUGUGAUUUGUUAUAGCUGUCACUACUAUUUUAUAUUACAGUCUGAUGACUGCUGGAUUUCUUCACCCCGACCUAAAGGCCAGGCCCCUGAAAACAGUCCAUAAUCCGAAGGCUUCAAUAUUCCCCUCGAGAGCCAGGUCUAGCCCGCUCAGUCACAGGGCCGGACUCUGCCUAGACUCCUCAAUCAAGCCGGCCCAAACCUCUCGGCCCAAUAAUCAGGCCCUCACCAGGCUCAACUUCAGCCCUACCAUUCAACCCAGCCCAGAAAGAGGAAAAUGACUAACCUGCCCCGCUGAUGGGUCCUUCCGCAUGCGUAUCAGAGGAGAAUUAAUGGUCGUUACGCAUGGAGCAGGCGCCUGACACAUCCGUACAUACAGAGCUGGGCGGCAGAAGACAGCUAGCAUUGUGGCAGAGAGACAGAUAUAUAUAUUACAGUAGAGGCCACGCAAAAGAGGGGGCUCUCUCUUCUUCUUCCUUCUCCUUCCUGGACACCAUUUUUAUUCUUUCUGCAACCCUUGCCUAAAUAUACUACUCUGAGCCAUAAAAUCUGACUUGAGCGUCGGAGGGCCUCCACCGGGGCACCCCCGGUAGGCCCCUGACCAUUCUUUCUUAUUUUACAGGUCCUUUCACCAGGUAAAACAUGGAGAGAUCCAUCAGGGAGCCCAGCAAGAAGGGACCCAGAAGAAAACCAGAUCUAUCAUGGACCAGGAAGAGGAAAAAAUUUAUCACAGUCCAUAUAAAACCGGUGUAGAUAAGUUUUUGCCCUUCAAGGAAAAUUGGUAAAAGAAUAUAAUUAGUAAAUUCUUUCAAUUUUUAGUAUAUGGAAAAUAAUUAUCACCCAUGAUUGAAUUAUUGGACAACAUCAUCAAAGAGAACUCUAGCAAAGUCCUUUCGUAUUUUCAUAUUUUCACUCUGUACCGAAUAAUUUUUGUUUUUUUUUUUUAAAUGAGAAUUGGAGAUUAGGAGAGUAGAACCUAAGCUUGUAAAUGCAGAUUGAAUAGUCUUAUAAUUGAAAUAUCUAAAUAAAAUCAUAAACAAAAUGAAUUUUAACUCAGAUCUUAACAAAUUAAUAUAAUAAUCUCAAUUUGAUCUAGUGUAUCUUUUGAUUUACAGUUUUUUAAGUCAAAUGUCAAUGAUAAAUUUAAAAUUUUAGUAGUUUUUUUCUCGUAACUCUAUUCCUAUUAUUAGAAUCUCUCUUUUACCGAAAAAUUCUUCAUAGUUAUGGAGGAAAAAUUUUUCUUUUUCUUGAAAAACUUAUCAUUUAUUUUAUUUUAUUUAUAAUUUUAAUUAAAUCGGUUGUUCAUAAUUUUUCAAAAAUUUAGAUUUGAAAUAAAAUAUAUUUUUUUUAAUUUUAGGCCAUCAGUAAUUUUUAAGUUCAGUGACUCAUAAUAUUAAAUUUAUAUUUUUUUAAUUCACAACAAUAUUUUAAUUUUUAAGUUCUGUAAAUUCUUGUGGCUCUGUGUGAAUGUGCUUGGAUCAUGAACUAUCAAUAAGAUUCAUCACAAUCAUACCCAAGAUCAAGAUCAAAUAAAUAAGCUGAUCAACUCUGCAAAUAGAAUAUAAACUGUACAUCAUACAAAUAUUUGAAAUAUAAAGAUUACAGGACUAACAUCCACUCCAAAUUUAAUCAUAUAUAUAUGUAAUCAAUGAUACUGAUCAAUGCGAAAGAUGAAGUCAUCACUGUGAGAUCAAACAUCGAAACAUUUAUGGUAUAGUUGUUUAAGGACUGGGAGUUGAUUGAGGAGGUUUUGUGUCCUUGGCAAGGAAUGUGGGCUUUGGUAACUCUGGCAAGUGGGGAAAAGUUGGCAGUUCAGGUUUUGGUAACUCAGGCAAUUCAAGUUUUGGCAAAGUGGGAAUUUCAGGCUUUGGCAACUCAGGCAAUUCAGGUUUUGGCAGUGUGGGAAGUUCAGGCUUAGGGAAGGCUGGGACUUCUGGUAAUGGUGGAAGCUCAACCUUAGGCAGUGAAGGCAAUUCAGGCUUGGGAAGCUCAGAUACCUCAGGCAAUGCUGUUUUUAGAAGGUGUCGUGCAUCUACGGAUUGACAGAGUGAUAAGUGAGAGCAUAAUGAUGAGGGAAGGGGAGCGAUGAUCGGCCAAAAUGCGACAAGAUCAACCACCUGCAAAGUGAAUAGUAAUUAAAAUUUCUGGACAAUUUUGUUUUGCGUGUUGAUGUUCACUUAGUGUUGAGCUUUUAUAGAAGUGGGAAGUGGAGAAUGGAGAACCUUCAAUGGUAAUUUGGUGGGAAAACUUGUGUCCUGUUAGCUCAACUUCCCAUCUAUAAUCCUCCAACAACUGGCAUGACCCAUUAUAGGCUUCCAUACAAAAGUAAUCUUUCCGUCCUUCUACAUGGAUUCAAGAGAUUAGUUGGAGAGAACCACAGCUAAAAGAUUGACAUUAAGCUAAAAUAUGUUGUCAGAAAUCACAACACUUGUCAAGUUCAAGCAUUUUUACAAAUUUAAUAAUUCACCACCACUAAACUUUGACAAAUCUUCCUUUAUUGCAACGCUUAUUGUUAUUGUUGGAAUUUAAUGACUGACCGAUCCAAAUCUCCAUGCGAUGAAAGUGUUGAAUUCCAAUUUAAUAUGAUGGCCUCUUCUAAAAUACUUCUAGACAAUUUAAAUUAAAUUUCAAUUAACUUAUCAUAUUAUAAAGCUUAUUAUUAUCAAUGUCAAGACUACGUUAUGAAAAAUAUCUUUCAUAUUUUUUGUUAUUUGGAAUAAUGAGAAAAAUUAAUCAAUAAAAAUAUUUUCUUGAUUAAAGAAAAAAUUAAAUCAUUUUAAAAAAAUACUGCUUCUUGGCUCUUUCUUUCUCAUCAAUUCUAUUUUCCUGUUGUGCUCUUCCAACAAAUCCAUAGUCACCAACUUGCCCUUUGAAAUUUAAAUUAUUGGACGACAUCAUCAACGAGAAUUCUAGCAAAGUUCUCUAAUAUUUUCUUCAUCAAUGUUGAAUUUUGAGAGGGAAGGGGAAUAAUACAUAUGAAUGCGACUAAAUAGUCUUACAAUUUUAUUGAUUGUAUUGUUAUUUAUACAGUCAAAUAUAAUUAAAAAAUCUAAAUAAAAUUAUAAAUAAUUUAAAUAUUAACUUAAAUAUUAAUAAAUUAAAAUAAUGAUUCAAAUUUAAAUUAUAUGAUUUAGCAUAUUUUUCGGUUUCUAAAUCAAAUAUCCAACGAUCAAUUUAAAAUUUUAGUACUCAUAAGCCCUUGGUAUUAUUAGAAACUCUCUUACUAAAAUUUUUUAAUAAUUAUAAAUAAAAAAGUUUUAUUUUUCUUUCAUAAUAUUAGAAAUAAAACCAUAUCAUUUAUUUUAUUUAAUUUGUAAUCGAAUUAAAUCGGUUGUUCAUGAUUUUUUGAAAAAUUAGAUUUAAAAUAAAAUGGAUAAUUUUUUAAUUUUAGGCCAUCAAUAAUUUUUAAGUUCAGUAAUUCAUAAUACUAAAAUUUUUUAAAAAAAUUCACAACAACAAUUUAAUUUUUAAGUUCAGUAAUAAUUUCUCUUUGUGGCUCUGCAUGAAAGUGCUUGGAUCAUGAACUAUUAAAUAAGAUUGAUCAGUCAUACCCAAAAUCAAAUAAAUAAGCUGGAUCAACUCAGUAUAUAGAAAAUGAACUCACAAGAUACAUCAUUCAAACAACUGAAACAGAAAUAUUAUAGGACUACCACUCACUGCAAAUUAAUCAUGUAUAUGUAAAAGAAGAUAUAAAUGAUACUGAUCAAUGCGAAAGAUGAAGUCAUCACUGUGAGAUCAAAUAUAGAAACACUUAUGGUGUAGUUGUUUAAGGACUGGUGGUUGAUUGAGGAGGUUUUGUGUCCUUAGAAGGCAAUGUGGGCUUUGGCAACUCAGGCAAGUGGGGAAAAGCUGGCAAUUCAGGCUUUGGCAACUCAGGCAAUUCAGGUUUUGGCAGUAUGGGAAGUUCAGGUUUAGGAAAGGUGGAGACUUCAGGUAAUGGUGGAAGCUCAACUUUAGGCAAUGAUGGCAACUCAGGCUUGGGAAGCUCAGGUACCUCAGGCAAUUCUGUCUCCAGAAGGUGUCGUGCAUCUACAGAGAUUGAUAGAGUGAUGAGUGAGAGCAUAAUGAUGAGGGAAGAGCGAAGAUCGGCCAUAAUGCUAU
rnacentral:lncRNA from 1 species